rnacentral:rRNA from 1 species
UACGUAGGGCGCAAACGUUGCUCGGAAUCAUUGGGCGUAAAGCGCGCGUAGGCGGUUACUUAAGUCGAAUGUGAAAGCCCUCGGCUUAACUGAGGAAGUGCAUCCGAAACUGAGUAGCUAGAGUACGAAAGAGGGUCGCGGAAUUCCCGGUGUAGAGGUGAAAUUCGUAGAUAUCGGGAGGAACACCGGUGGCGAAGGCGGCGACCUGGGUCGAGACUGACGCUGAGGCGCGAAAGCGUGGGGAGCAAACAGG